UGUUGUUUGGUGAUUUGUUGAUGGCAGGCAUUCUGACAGAUCAAAUACAAGCUGUAAGACUCCAAAUAAUAAUGGUUCAAGGAUUUCACCCAAUCCUGGAUAUGCCUGUGACCUCCUUAAAUCAGCCCAUGCAACAACACCCACUAGAUCAAGUUACACAAUGCUUCCAUUCCACCCUAACCUAGCCACUCCCAGACAGAGAACAAGAAAUAUCAACCAACUCACUUCUAUGUCCAAACUCAGCAAGAAGUAGAUUCAGAAGUCAGAACAAUGUCCCUCAACUUCCAAAAUAAAUUUGGCCGAUAACUCUUGAGAGGGAAAAUAUUAGAGUAGGCCAAUAAAAGAUAUGAGAUGGGAGAGGAGGCUGGGGCUUUGAGAGAAUAUGUGUAAAAUGUGACAAACCAAAAAUAGGCAACGGAGGGAGCAGACCCCUCUGUGAGGAGAGAAGACUCAGGGCCUCUCCAGGAUGUGGUCUAACUGGCGGCAUGACACCCAGUGGCUGCACCGGUCUGCAUUCCCACCAGCAGUGUUCUAGAGUCCCCUUUU